rnacentral:rRNA from 1 species
GAUGAACGCUAGCGGCAGGCUUAAUACAUGCAAGUCGAGGGGCAGCAUGACUGUAGCAAUACAGUUGAUGGCGACCGGCAAACGGGUGCGGAACACGUACAGAACCUUCCUUCGAGCGGGGAAUAGCCCAGAGAAAUUUGGAUUAAUACCCCAUAGUAUAUUGGAGUGGCAUCACUUUGAUAUUAAAGAUUUAUCACUUGAAGAUGGCUGUGCGGCUGAUUAGAUAGUUGGCGGGGUAACGGCCCACCAAGUCUGCGAUCAGUAACUGGUGUGGGCGCACGACCAGUCACACGGGCACUGAGACACGGGCCCGACUCCUACGGGAGGCAGCAGUAAGGAAUAUUGGUCAAUGGACGAAAGUCUGAACCAGCCAUGCCGCGUGGAGGAUGAAGGCCCUCUGGGUUGUAAACUUCUUUUAUCUGGGACGAAAAAGGACCUUUCUAGGUCAACUGACGGUACCAGAGGAAUGAGCACCGGCUAACUCCGUGCCAGCCGCCGCCGUAACAC